rnacentral:sRNA from 1 species
AUAGUAUUUUUCAAAAGAUUUUUUUUAAUAACUCUCAGAAUAAACAAGUAUAAGUGCUAAAACUGGGACUGCAGAACAGGUGCAUAUGAAAAACUUAAGCAAUCACACAUAUUUGACUAAUACAGCAAAAAUGUUUGCUAAUUAAUUUAUUGAUUGUGAUAUUUAAGGAAUGCAGAUGCAACAAACCACAUAUUGAUUCAUUUUAUCAACUUACUGUGUAUUAGAAGUUCUAUUUUUGUGGCAUGAAAGUGCACUUUCUAACACUCCUGUCAACACAGGUAACUCUGCCGAAAUGUCUUUCAGAACAGGUGGCCAUUGGAAAGAUGAGAGUGAAUCAAGGCCAAGACUCUCCUGAAGACUACAAACUUCAGCACACUUCACUUCCCUCCAGAUAAUGGCCUUGAGAGUAUUUAUGAGUCCGUCACGGGCACAUCUGUUUUUCUUCAGCAGCAGGAUACCGGGACUCUAGAAUGUACUCGUAUGACUUUGUCCUUGAAACCCUCCUUCUUCAGCUGCUGGAUUGGUUUCGAUGCUGGUGUGGAUGUCAUUGGUUGCUGUUUAGUUGAUGUCAUGCAUUUUUUUUUGUAGAAUUUUAUUGGUGUAAAAGAAAACUUUCUUUUUCGUUUUGGAGUUGACGGUGCAGGCGGCCCAUGUGAUUUUGAGUUAUGUUUGUAAAUCCUAACAGUUAGUGAGGCACAAUUGUUGCAAAUAAAUUUAUUGGACUUACUUAAUGG